CCUACGGGAGGCAGCAGUGGGGAAUAUUGGGCAAUGGGCGCAAGCCUGACCCAGCAACGCCGCGUGAAGGAAGAAGGCUUUCGGGUUGUAAACUUCUUUUCUCAGGGACGAAGAAAGUGACGGUACCUGAGGAAUAAGCCACGGCUAACUACGUGCCAGCAGCCGCGGGAAUACGUAGGUGGCAAGCUUUAUCCGGAUUUACUGGGUGUAAAGGGCGUGUAGGCGGGAAAGCAAGUCAGAUGUGAAAACCAUGGGCUCAACCUGUGGCCUGCAUUUGAAACUGUUUUUCUUGAGUACUGGAGAGGCAGACGGAAUUCCUCGUGUAGCGGUGAAAUGCGUAGAUAUGAGGAGGAACACCAGUGGCGAAGGCGGUCUGCUGGACAGCAACUGACGCUGAGGCGCGAAAGCGUGGGGAGCAAACAGGAUUAGAUACCCUAGUAGUC
rnacentral:rRNA from 1 species